AUUGAACGCUGGCGGUAUGCUUAACACAUGCAAGUCGAACGGUAGCAUGACUUAGCUUGCUAAGUUGAUGACGAGUGGCGAACGGGUGAGUAACGCGUAGGAAUAUGCCUUAAAGUGGGGGACAACUUGGGGAAACUCAAGCUAAUACCGCAUAAUUUCUUAGGAAAAAAGCUGGGGACCUUCGGGCCUGGCGCUUUAAGUUUAGCCUGCGUACGAUUAGCGAGUUGGUAGGGUAAAGGCCUACCAAGGCGACGAUCGUUAGCUGGUCUGAGAGGAUGACCAGCAACACUGGAACUGAGACACGGUCCAGCCGCCUCCGGUAGGCAGCAGUGGGAGAUAGUGGACAAUGGGUGCAUCCCUGAUCCAGCAAUACCGCGUGUGUGAAGAAGGCCUGAGGGUUGUAAAGCACUUUCAGUGGGGAGGAGAGUAUUUAGGUUAAGAGCUAGAAUACUGGACGUUACCCACAGAAGAAGCACCGGCUAACUCCGUGCCAGCAGCCGCCGUAA
rnacentral:rRNA from 1 species